CCAGGAAGCUGGUGGAGGACUCCAAAGGGAUCGCAUUGAUCUAUUCUCACCUGCCGCCUGCUGCAUGCGAUGCGAGUCGACGACAAGAUCAGUGCAAUCCCUUUGGAAUUUUCCACUCGCGCCUUC
rnacentral:pre_miRNA from 1 species